UGCUUAAAGCCCACCGCCCCCGCCCCCGCCCCUUCGCCAUUGUUGAAAAACCCACCACACCGGAGAGAGAGAGACAGAGCAUACCGCACGGGAGAGAGAGCAUGAACGGGUGGACGAUGAUGGUGGCUUCGAGGUAACAGUGAGGGUUUACAAGCUAGAGGAGCACCAGCCACCUGAUCUAGGGUUUCUGGAAGGGUUGGAUGUCUGGCAACAACUCCUCCGACGAAGGUUUGCCUGUAAAUUAGGGUUUAUUGUUGCUUUUCUGUUUACCGUCGCUGAAAAGCUCUGAAACCCGAUGACCAACUGAUUUGAGCUUGUGGGUACGUUACAGUAACAAGAUGGAGGCGGCGUGAGCUACGAUUAUUACGGGUCUCUGUUUGACUCCGUCAAGAAUUCCGAACUCCAGCGAAGCUUCAACGACUUCUCCGGUGACCGAUAUGGCUGUUGUUGUGUAAGUUUGAUGCGUUGUUUGCAGUGGUUUGUUGGUAGUUGUUGUGAUUUUAAGUUCAUAAUCUGGUUAUAUGAUUUGUAUUAGUUCUUUGUUGAGAUUAUAGUUUGAUUUUAGUAUUAAAUGAUAUUUUCGAAUCCAGAUCUCUAUUAUCUUACUGUGAACGAACUAUUUGAUUUUACUUGUAAAUGUAUAUUGGUCAGUGAAUCUCGCUAUUUGGUCUAAGCUGUCAUCCGUUUUUUUUGCGUUGAUUAUCUAAAUUCAAUGUUCGUAUUUUCAGAUGUAGAGGAGUAUAUGGGUUUAAUAACAUUUAUUACGAUUUUGGUAUGAGGUGAUGUUUCAGAAUCCAGAUAUGUGUGCAGUUGGCUAAGUAUGCAGCUUUAACACCGCCGUUAAUUAAAGUAAGGCCUUAUCGAGUCAGAUGGGAAGCAACGGAGAGAGAAAGGGCAAAGUCGGAUGGCGGAGUUACCGCGUUACUUCGACAAUAACCUCACUCCAGUGACGACGACAUGCGACGGGUAGGACUUCUAAGAUUCCGACUUACCUUUGUUGGUCAUAUUGUGAUUUAAGCUUCAGAAUCGAUUUGCAGUAUUUCAUCUCAGUAAAUCAAUUUUAGCAGCUAUCUGGUUAGGCUUUUUAUAAGUAUAGAACUAUGGUGCGGUUUCCAUAAAACGGGUACUGGUAUUAUGGGCCAAGUGAAGCUCCAGGGAUUAACAAAUGGAUCGGUCGUUGACCUUCUGAGCAUUGGACAUAUUGAGUUGGAUUCAAAUGAGAAGCACUAGGGCAGGACACUGGUGGUUCAUCACUUUGGAUCUCAGGGUCAGACUUGGUACAAGACUUCACGGGAAAGGCGAAACGCGUGUCAAUGGUUAAAGCAUCAGACGUUAUUGGUCUGCUAAUAUUGCUCCAACUAACGGUUGCUCAGAUUGUAGUUACAAAGAACCAUGUUUGAACUGUUGAUAGCUUAUUAUGUUAAUUGUACUUACAUAGGUUGUAGCACAACAAAGGACAUGAUAAAUGCUUGCAACCAUACCUGAAUAAAUAAAUCACAAUAUUACUAACA